rnacentral:tRNA from 1 species
GGGGGUGUAGCUCAGUGGCACAGCAUAUGCCUGUGCAUACGAGGGCCUGAGUUUAGUCCCCAGCGCCAAAAGAAAAAACAAAAAUAAAUUAAAAUUAUUAGGACAGCACCUGCUUGGAAGAUCUUAACCAGCCAACGCCCCACUGUGUGUAAACAUUAUGCUUUGAGAACUUACUUAGAGCUCGUUGGUAGAGGGCUUGCCUCACAUGCAUAAGGCCCUGGGUUCAAUCCCGAGCACCACAA